rnacentral:rRNA from 1 species
UAUGGCUCAGGAUGAACGCUGGCGGCGUGCCUAAUACAUGCAAGUGAAACGGGUAUCUUCGGAUACCAGUCGCGGACGGGUGAGUAAUACAUAGGCAACCUGCCUUUAUGAGGGGGAUAACCGAGGGAAACUUUGGCUAAUACCGCAUGAAGACUCUAAGGCAUCUUAGAGGGAUAAAAGUUGGGAAACAACGCAUGAAGAUGGGCUUAUGGCGCAUUAGCUAGUUGGUGAGAUAGAAGCCCACCAAGGUAAUGAUGCGUAGCCGACCUGAGAGGGUGAACGGCCACAUUGGGACUGAGACACGGCCCAAACUCCUACGGGAGGCAGCAGUAGGGAAUUUUCGGCAAUGGGGGGAACCCUGACCGAGCAACGCCGCGUGAAAGGAAGAAGGUUUUCGGAUUGUAAACUUCUGUUAUAAGGGAAGAACGGAUUGGAUAGGGAAUGAUCUGAUAGUGACGGUACCUUAUUAGAAAGCCACGGCUAACUACGUGCCAGCCGCUGC